CCCAAAGGCUGCUCACGGUUUACUAGACACGCCCCUACUCGCGUUAUAGUGAGAAGGGGCAGAAUUUACUAAUACUAAGUAAUCUUUACUUAGUAUUAGUAAAUUUGGCUGAAAGACCAAUUUAGGUCUUUCAGCCUUUUAGUAGAUAGCUCUCUAAUACCGUGGGAAUUAGGGAGUUAUCUACUAAGCGGCUGCUUAUUUUAUGU